ACUAAUACAUACGUAGCUGAUGAUGUAACUAAUACAAACGUUGCUGAUGAUGUAACUAAUACAUACGUUGCUG